CAUGCAAGUCGAGCGGUAACGCGGGAGCAAUCCUGGCGACGAGCGGCGAACGGGUGAGUAAUGCUUCGGAAUCUGCCCAGUAGUGGGGAACAACCAACCGAAAGGUUGGCUAAUACCGCAUACGUCCUACGGGAGAAAGCGGGGGAUCGUAAGACCUCGCGCUAUUGGAUGAGCCGAAGUCGGAUUAGCUAGUUGGUAGGGUAACGGCCUACCAAGGCGACAAUCCGUAGCUGGUCUGAGAGGACGACCAGCCACACUGGGACUGAGACACGGCCCAGACUCCUACGGGAGGCAGCAGUGGGGAAUAUUGGACAAUGGGGGCAACCCUGAUCCAGCGACGCCGCGUGUGU
rnacentral:rRNA from 1 species